rnacentral:rRNA from 1 species
UACGUAGGGGGCAAGCGUUGUCCGGAUUUAUUGGGCGUAAAGAGCGUGUAGGCGGCCAUACAGGUCAGCUGUGGAAAACUCGAGGCUCAACCUCGAGACGUCGGUUGAAACCGUAUGGCUAGAGUCCGGAAGAGGAGAGUGGAAAUUCCCGGUGUAGCGGUGAAAUGCGCAGAUAUCGGGAAGAACACCCGUGGCGAAGGCGGCUCUCUGGGGACGGUACUGACGCUGAGACGCGAAAGCGUGGGGAGCGAACAGG